UACGUAGGUGUCAAACGUUGUCCGGAUUUAUUGGGCGUAAAGCGCCCGCAGGCGGCUCUGCAAGUUCCAAGUGAAAUCUCCCGGCUCAACUGGGAGGGGUCUUGGAAAACUGCAGGGCUUGAGGCAGGGAGAGGGAUGCGGAAUUCCAGGUGUAGCGGUGGAAUGCGUAGAUAUCUGGAGGAACACCAGUGGCGAAGGCGGCAUCCUGGCCCUGUCCUGACGCUGAGGGGCGAAAGCGUGGGGAGCAUACCGG
rnacentral:rRNA from 1 species